rnacentral:tRNA from 1 species
GCUACUAUGGCCGAGUGGUCUAAGGCGCUGGUUUUAAGUCAUCAAAAAUCACCAGUUCAAUUUGAGCGAGGGUUCGAACCCCUCUGGUAGCA